AUAAAUAAGCGGUGGAAAAGAAACCAAAUGGGAUUUCCUUAGUAACGGCGAGCGAAAGGGAAAUAGUCCAGCGCCAAGUCUUGACACUUGAUGUGUUCAAGAGAUGCGGCGUUAAUGUAUUGGUGCAUCGUACAUUGCUAUCUGUUUCAAGUUCCUUUGACUAGGACGUCCAGAGCGGGUGCUAGGCCCAUAGAAGCAGGAAGCCGAUGUAUGCCGGCCAAUACAUAUUAGAGUCAAGUUGCUUGAGAGUGCAGCUUAAAGUGGGUGGUAAACUCCAUCUAAGACUAAAUAUGACAGCGAGACCGAUAGCAAACAAGUACCGUGAGGGAAAGUUGCAAAGCACUUUGAAGAGAGAGUUCAAUAGUACGUGAAACCACUGGGAGGCAAACAGAUGGAGCCACGAAGUGUGCGCUUCGGGCGAUUCAAUCAAUCCCAAACUAUUAGUAUGAAGCAAGGGAUCUUUAAGGAGAUUGUGCUGUCAUAUGAAUAAAAGUUUGGUGUUGGUGCAUUUCGUUCCGAAGAGGGCAAGCCACGUUCGAUUAGAAAGUUGGGAUGGCUGUAGGAAAGGUUCAGGAAAGGUGACCGUUAAAAUGCUUGCAUUUGGCGGUGUUAUAGUCUUGAAUCUUAACCGUCACCAAACAUACUGAUCGAUAAAAUUUCUCCCAUAAAGGGAGUAAAGCUGUAGAGACUGAUAAUUUGCUGGCUAGUGUACUAAAUGAGUUCUUUACGUAUUUUUAAAAUGCGAAAAGGCUUGUUAUGAAUACUGGCYAUUGUUGAGUUGUCAUGUUGACUACGGCAGAACUGUGGCGCGAGUAGGUCGGUAUCCAUCUGACCCGUCUUGAAACACGGACCAAGGAGCCUAUCAUAUGCGCGAGUCGCUCGGUCUUGUUUAGGCCUGGGAGGCACAAUGAAAGUGAAGCUACGAGACUGUGAAAAGUUGCAGUAGCGGUCCGCUUACUUCGUUUAUAUGGCGAUUUGGCGGAACUGGAGCGUAUAUGAUGGUACCCGAAAGAUGGUGAACUAUGCCUGGGCAAGACGAAGCCAGAGGAAACUCUGGUGGAGGUCUGUAGCGAUUCUGACGUGCAAAUCGAUCGUCAGACCUGGGUAUAGGGGCGAAAGACUAAUCGAACCAUCUAGUAGCUGGUUCCCUUCGAAGUUUCCCUCAGGAUAGCAGGCGCUUAUAAAAAUCAGUCUCAUCCGGUAAAGCUAAUGAUUAGAGGUCUUGGGGUUGAAACGACCUCAACCUAUUCUCAAACUUUAAAUGGGUGAGAUGGUUGACUUGCUUGAAUAUUGAAGCCAACCGUAAGGAUGUGAGUGCCUAGUGGGCCAGCUUUGGUAAGCAGAACUGGCGCUGUGGGAUGAACCAAACGUCGAGUUAAGGCAUCAAAUGCACACGCUCAUGAGAUCCCAGAAAAGGUGUUGGUUGCUAUAGACAGCAGGACGGUGGCCAUGGAAGUCGGAAUCCGCUAAGGAGUGUGUAACAACUCACCUGCCGAAGCAACUAGCCCUGAAAAUGGACGAUGCUGUAGCGUGGAGCCGAUACUCGACCGUAAUGAUGAGACUCAAUGGAGAAUGCGAUAUCAUUACGAGUAGAAGGGCCGCAAUGAUAGCGUUGAAGUGAUCAGACGUGAGUCUGCAUGGAGCUGUCAUUGUUGCAGAUCUUGGUGGUAGUAGCAAAUACUCAAGUGAGAAUCUUGAGGACUAAGGUGGAGAAGGGUUCCAUGUGAACAGCAGUUGGACAUGGUUCAGUCGGUCCUAAGGAAGCGGAGAAAUCCGUUAAAACGGUCGUAGAAAAGUUUGCAAUUGAAAAAAUUGAAUGAUUAACGACCGAUUUUCCGAAAGGGGAUUGGGUUAAUAUUCCCAAACUGAGUCAUAGAGGAUGUACUUUCGGGUACUAUUGCGGUAACGCAAUCAAAUUCGGAGACAUCGGCGGCAGUCCUGGGAAGAGUUGUCUUUUCUCUAUAAGGUGUCGAAUCCAUGAAAACAGAUUGUCUGGAGAUAUGGACGUUGAUACCGAAGAGCUCAGCGACUCUUGCUGAGUCCGGUGCGCUGCUGUCGGUCCUUGAAAAUCCGAAGGCGAGUUUUACCUCUAUGGUCAGCCGUACCGAUAUCCGCAGCAGGUCUCCAAGGUUAACAGCCUCUAGUUUGUAGAAUAAUGUAGGUAAGGGAAGUCGGCAAAACUGAUCCGUAACUUCGGGAUAAGGAUUGGCUCUGAAGGAUGGGUCGUUCGGGCUUUGGUCGGAAAGUAGUUAGGUGUCUGACUGGGACUGGUUAUUGGGAACAGUGACUGGACCUGUGUUGGCACAACUGCUGGAUGGCCAUGGCUACGCCUUCUUGCGUAAGCUUGAAGUGUCGUUUCGGGCGACAUGAAACAUCUUACUCAGAACUGGCACGGACCCGGGGAAUCCGACUGUCUAAUUAAAACAAAGCAUUGCGAUGGCCGGAGAUCGGUGUUGACGCAAUGUGAUUUCUGCCCAGUGGUAUGAAUGUCAAUGUGAAG
rnacentral:rRNA from 1 species